UCAGCGGCAUGCUGUAUGUACUAAACUGAGAACCAUGCAGAGAAGAUUAGCAUGGCCUCUGCACCAGGAUGCCAUGCAAAUCUGGGCAGCAAGACAGAAACAA